ensembl:lncRNA
UUCACAUCUCCUGGACUCCAGAAUCUGACAAUGUAGAUGGAGCGUUUCCAUCCUUGGUUUGAUUCCUGGAGGAAACAUGAAUCGCUUGUGGAUUGUGCCACGAAGGGCAUCCAAGCAUGUGGAGCUGCCUGCUGUGGCAACCCCUCGUGAUAAGGGAGGAGCUGAAAGUAAGUUUUAUGUCUGUGUAGCAUGGCAGUAUAAUCGACAGGAUUACACCUCAGGUGUGUCAAGUGUUGCACUUUGUAUACGGG